rnacentral:lncRNA from 1 species
UUAUCAAAAAUUAUUUUAUUCAUGUAUUUAUUCGAUAAAAUGUAGAUACCUAAAUGAUUUCGGAUUUGGGUGAAUUUUGGUAGGAGGAUAUUAGAGCCUAAAAAUCAAAUAGUUUGAAUCAUUAAGUAUAUUACAUAUAUUUAGGACAUUUUCUAUUGAGAGAGGUGAUAGCAUACUAAACUCACACACACUAUAAGAAUGCUAGGACUCGAACCCAAAUUCUUGUUAAAGUUUCUUUACAAAUUGAUCACGAUUCACGAACAAUGCCUCAUCCACUUCCAAUCUAGUUGAUAACAUGAAUCAUAUAAAAAAAACAACCCAGCGUUCCUCAAUAUCUU